rnacentral:misc_RNA from 1 species
UGGUUCUGGCAUCGAUGAAGAACGCAGCGAAAUGCGAUAAGUAAUGCGAAUUGCAGAAUUCCGUGAGUCAUCGAAUCUUUGAACGCACAUUGCGCCCCUUGGUAUUCCGAAGGGCAUGCCUGUCCGAGCGUCAUUAUCCAUCUCAAGCCUGGCUUGCCGUUGGCGCUGCUCUCGUAGCGGCGUCCAAAGACAGCGGCGGCACCGCGGGGGUCGCAACGCAACGAGCUUCGGCACGCGUUGCAGUCUCCGGGGCCCGCCCACCACUUCUCGGUUGACCUCGGAUCAGACAGGAUUACCCGCUGA